AGUCGUGACAAAAAACUCAUUUGUAUCCAACUAUUCUCUUCACUUCUUUCCAUUUUUCUCUCUUAAUUACCCAAAAACAUCACAACAAUUUCCUUCCUCUUAUUACUCUCCACACCUUGCUUCCUAAUGCCACUCAUGGUUUUUUUGUAUUUAAAAAAUGUGUUGCAAUAGAUCCUACUGAGGUAGAUAGAGCUAAAAUCAUCAUUAUUGACCCCGAUCUAGAAGUUGUAGGUGGCGUCACUGCAUUUCUUAUUGAUUCACCCCCUGUUCCGGCUAUGGAUUUCAUUAGGUUUUCUCCCACUUCUCCUCGUAGUAAAUAUUUCCCCCCCAACAAUGUCUCCAAAUGAAGUUGAGUCCUUAGUUGAUGCGAUGAUUCCAAAAUAACCCAAUUUCAAGGACGACUGUAAGAGCUAUACAUUGGAGGAGUGCUCCUCCUUCUAGCAAAAGCAAUCUAUGUUUCAUUUUGUGUCUAAGGUAGAUAAAGGUUCAAUUAAGGCUAUCAAAGGGGAUUGUGGGUUACAGAAAAAUAUUAAAAUCUUCUCUCCUUAUCUCACCAAGAAUAUCUCCAUUUCUAAACUAGGUAUUUGGUCAUCAAUACUUACACUUUUGUUAUGGGUCUAGCUACCAUCCAUAUCAUCUGAUUUAUCUUUCAUCUAUAUAAACCCUACAUUAUCUUUUUGAGUUAGGGGGAUCCCAUAGUUUAGAAGGCAGUCUCCUAUCUCUAUGUCGUCAUGUGCUUCUUAGACUUGUGCUUCUCCCUUGUGUAUUUAUUCAGCAUAUAUGCUCCAUAGGUAAUCCUUGAAAAAUUUAUGACUUUUAAGUUUUGGGGUAGCAAAGGUGUGCUCUCAUAUCUACAAGAAGCGACCCAUCAGUGGUAGGAAUAAUACGUCUUUAUUUGCUAAAAUUUCCUUCCCGGCUUACCUUCUCUGUAGGAAGAAUGGAGUUGUCAUAGUAUGUCCUUCUUUUAUCCUUUUUAUGUAAAGCAACAUUUUGCUUUUCCUCAUAUUCUUGUCUUAUUGCGGCCAAUUCUUGGGUUACGCACCAGCAGAUAUUCUCCCUUGGGUACGAAGGAUUCUUGAGUAGGUCUGUUUAAGGGAUACACCUAAAACCAUUUCUACCGAAAAGAGGUGGAUCUACAAGGACCAUUAUGCCCGUAUUUCCUCAUUUUGUGGCUUGCGGAUGUCUACCAUGUACUGAUUAUAUCUUUUUUCUAGGGAUCAAUAUUGAUGGAACCAUUUUGCAUUUGCAUAACUUUUUUUGAUCUUGAGGGGUUUACCCAUUUGUUCGUACACCAGCCUAAAGAAGUCGGGGGGCUCCAAAGGUCGAUCCCUAGUUGAUAAGAAAAAUGAAGACAAUGAGAUCCCCUAUACCAAGCAGGAGAAGAAGGUCGAGUAAGUCCACUACCUUACACUAGGAGGAGAUGACCCAAGUGGAUACACUUGGAGAUACUACUUUGGAAGCCUAGUCCUUUGCAUCUUAUCCAUCCAUGCCUACGUUGAACUGCUCCAUUCAGAUAUGAUUGACGAGAUGAUUAAUAAUGAUUUUGAGAUGCCUAUAUUGCAAAGUUCUUCGCCUGAAAAACAUGUUUCUAUGAUGGAAAAAAUCUGGCAGGAUAUGUAUUCGCAUCUGCACUAUCACUUUCUUAUGGAGAAAGUGGUGAGCUUGUUGGCCCAAGAAAGUCAAGCCCUUUCCAAAGACACUUUCAAGGCUCUAUUGCGAGGGAGUAUUUAUUAGGUUCUUGCAGAUUUCUCCCAUCUUUUUUUCCUAACACUAUAUUUAAUCUAAAUGUGUCAGGUUUAUCUUUACACGUGUGAAGCUCUUUCUCGAGAAAGGGAGAAGCCUAAGGUAGGGAACUCUAUGAAAUGCUCUCUUUUCUAAAGGAGAAAGUUUACACCUGGGAGGAUCGUUCUUUCAUAGAUAAGGAGUCCCUGUGUCAAUGUGAUAAAACCUAGGCCCGGUUGAGCCUUAGAGACUAAAAGCUUGAUGAAAAAGUCAAGAGCAUAAGGAGAGGGACGAUCAGGACAUUCAAUAUUCAUUAUAAUUGCAAACCCUUCUAAAAGACAAGGUUGUUGAAGUUGUAGCUGCUCGAGCUAAUAUAGAACUUUUCUCAGGAGAGGGGGGGACAAUUCUCUUGGUUAUUUUGGAGAUGCGUUUUAUUAAAACUAAGAUAAGGUUAAGUCCCUUUAAAAGAGUUUGAAACAGAGUCGAGCUUCGUUCUUGUCCAUGAGGCAAUACAUUAUAAGUGUACGUUAUGGUGAGAUCUACGAGGAGAAUUUAGGUGUACUUGAAAAGCUUCUGGCCCACCCAUCUUUGAUUAAAGAGGAAUUUAAGGCUGCUCAGGCAGCUAUCCAGGACAAUGUUUUCUCACCCUUCAGUCCUAUAUAAAUUACCUCCUCUCAAGAUGACUUAUCCUCAGGAAGAGAUUCUGAAGAAGUGCAGAUCUCUCAAGCCAGGCUUCAACCUGAAUAUGAAAGGAAAGGAAAACAAGCUUUUUUAUUAGAUCAUGCAUAAGUCCCAAUUACCAAGAGAAUGUUAAUGUUCAAACAUUCUCGAUGCUUGUUAUAGUUUUCCCAGGUUUUAGUACAUGGGUUGUACGGUGGCGCUCGACUUCAUUUAUCAAAAUAUGUUUUGUGCAUGAGUUUCUUAAGCUUUCUGGGUCAACAUUAUGAGUGUUGACCAUGAGGUAAUACAUUAUGAGUUUUUUUUGCAACAAAAUCUAGAAGGAGAAGUUAGGUGUCCUUAAAAAGCUUCUGGCCCACAUAUAUUUAAUCAAAGAGGAGAUUAACAGUACUCAGGUGGCCAUCUAGGACAAUGUUUUCUCACCCUUCAAUCCUACCAAAAUGAUCUUCUCUCAAGAUGACUUAUCCUCAAGAAGAGAUUCUGAAGAAGUGCAGAUAUAUCAAGCUGGUUCCCCAAAAUCAUUUUCCUCUUUUAGACUUAUUUCCUUGUUUUCGAGUAUGUGACCCCUCUCGAUUUAUACUUUAUUACUUUGAGAUUGGGGUUUUUUGGAUUUAUGAUAUGUUGUGUUAUUCAAAAAUUCUUUUUUUCUCCCAAGUGUCAUUCUCCUAGAUAGCUUAUAUUAUAUCAAAAUCUAUUGACAUUUUAUGUCUUAUGCUU